ACUUUUAUGGGGAGAUGCUGUCGAAAUUUCUGCAAAAUAUGCACUUUUACGAGGAUAUGCUACCCAAACUUUUGCAAAAAUACUCAUGCAUGCAAAUUUGUCAUAUGAUUCAUACAUGUUCUAUGCUAAUUAGUUUUAUGAUUGUUGGAUGUAGGCUGCUAAUAACGCUUCAUCUUCUGGAAAUGACAACUCUCAUUAAUUAUCUAAUUAGCUAGUUGGAUUUUUGUCGAAAGAUUAAUUUUGGAUGCACCAAAACGAAAAAGUGAAUGUUGAAGAUUUGAGGACAUUGGAACUUUUGUUUGGGCACAAGAUUGAAGAUAUAUUAAGUUUUUUUUUAUUAUUUAGUUGGAUUAUAAAUUUUAACAUUUGUUGUUCUACAUACAUUAGGUUGUACCUUGAGUUUGUCUAAAUGAGUUAGAUUUUUUGGUUAUUUUUAGUUUGAAGAUUGCUUAUACGGAGUAUGAAACGAUUUAAUUUUUUCAUUAAUCAAUAUAAUAUAUUUUGGUUCA